AGCAGAAUUUAAAAUGUGGCUGAUGCAUGACGUGACUGGACAGUUUGGCACUAGAUAUAACAUGGCUUCAAGAACAUUUCUUCAAAUUCUACAAAUAAGUGAAUCAAGGCCUACAGCACGAAGGGUUGUAAAAUAUAUUCAUCUUGCAGUUUUCAGAAGACUACAUGCAUUCUGAGAAUAUCCAACAUUAUCAUAACUAAGGAUGAUUCAUUUUCAAAAUGGCAUUAAAGUUUCUGUUUCAAUGCUAAAAGGAUGUUAUGACUGUUGAAUAUAAAAUAUAGAGAGAGAGCAAAAUCACAGAAUUUUUCAGCCUGUCUGCCAUUAAAGGACUUUAUUUUUGUAAUGGUGAGAGGCAGGAUACUGCUUGGCUGAACUGUGCCUAUGAUAAGUUUGGUUAUUCCUGUCCAUUACACCAUUGCACAAGUGAGAGAAUUGUUGUAGCUGGAAUAUGUCUUGCUCUCUAAACUGUGUACUUGUCCACAAUGAGCCAAAAAGGUCUAUGAUAUGGGGCAUACUUCAGGCACUGUUGUCCUAGAGCAGUCAGAUGCCGGCAGAGAACUCCAUCCGUAGUAGGUGAAGAAGAGAAUGUGAACCCCUUUCCAUUGCUCCUCCCAUGGCAGUUCCUUGUCUGCUCUGGAUCCCUUGUAGAGACAGGAAGGGUUUUGAGGGUGCCACCUUGAAAGAUGAAACUCCCCAAGAAUGGGGUGUGGUAGGAGAAAGGCAUGAUCUGACAUGGAGUCUGUAGUUGCUGCAAGGAUCAGAGACGAUGCACGCAGCCGUGCAAUCAUUAUGAUGUAUCUUUUAUAAUGGCUUUUAAGUCUUUUACUAGCACCAAACAAAAACAAAUUAAUGUCUCUGUAUCCUAGCUCUGGAAGUCAUGGGUUUCUUGCUCCUAGGGUUUUUUUUAUACCAUCACUAAUCUAUCUACUGGUAUUACCUCUCCAGAUUUUACCUCUUUUAAGUACCACUUAUUUAUUUUAUACCAAACUGUAAUGGGUUAAAAUUCUGGUAAAUAAAAAAAAAAUUCUGGUAAAGAACA
rnacentral:lncRNA from 1 species